UUUAAUUGAAGAGUUUGAUCAUGGCUCAGAUUGAACGCUGGCGGCAGGCCUAACACAUGCAAGUCGAGCGGUAACAGAGAGAAGCUUGCUUCUCUGCUGACGAGCGGCGGACGGGUGAGUAA
rnacentral:rRNA from 1 species